rnacentral:rRNA from 1 species
AUUGAACGCUGGCGGCAGGCUUAACACAUGCAAGUCGAGCGGAGAGAGGUAGCUUGCUACUGAUCUUAGCGGCGGACGGGUGAGUAAUGCUUAGGAAUCUGCCUAUUAGUGGGGGACAACAUUUCGAAGGGAAUGCUAAUACCGCAUACGUCCUACGGGAGAAAGCAGGGGAUCUUCGGACCUUGCGCUAAUAGAUGGGCCUAAGUCGGAUUAGCUAGUUGGUGGGGUAAAGGCCUACCAAGGCGACGAUCUGUAGCGGGUCUGAGAGGAUGAUCCGCCACACUGGGACUGAGACACGGCCCAGACUCCUACGGGAGGCAGCAGUGGGGAAUAUUGGACAAUGGGCGGAAGCCUGAUCCAGCCAUGCCGCGUGUGUGAAGAAGGCCUUAUGGUUGUAAAGCACUUUAAGCGAGGAGGAGGCUACUUUAGUUAAUACCUAGAGAUAGUGGACGUUACUCGCAGAAUAAGCACCGGCUAACUCUGUGCCAGCAGCCGCAGUAAAAC